UUGGAGGCAAUGAUGUUGAGAAUUACCUAUUUCAUGAAGGAAUACAAAAUUUCUCUUGUGAUUAUAAAACUAUCAAUGAAUCCUUUUGAGCUUUCA